rnacentral:rRNA from 1 species
AGCAGCCGCGGUAAUUCCAGCUCCAAUAGCGUAUAUUAAAGUUGCUGCAGUUAAAAAGCUCGUAGUUGAAUUUCGGGACUAAUAUGUCGGUCGUGCCUCGGUACGUACUGGUUUAUUGGUUUCUCCUUUCUGAAGAACCAUGAUGUCAUUUAUUUGGUGUCGUGGGGAAUCAGGACUGUUACUUUGAAAAAUUAGAGUGUUUAAAGCAGGCUCACGCUUGAAUACAUUAGCAUGGAAUAAUGAAAUAGGACGUUUGAUUCUAUUUUGUUGGUUUCUAGGAUCGACGUAAUGAUUAAUAGGGAUAGUUGGGGGCAUUAGUAUUCAAUUGUCAGAGGUGAAAUUCUUGGAUUUAUUGAAGACUAACUACUGCGAAAGCAUUUGCCAAGGAUGUUUUCAUUAAUCAAGAACGAAAGUUAGGGGAUCGAAGACGAUCAGAUACCGUCGUAGUCUUAACCAUAAACUAUGCCGACUAGGGAUCGGAUGAUGUUAAUUUU